rnacentral:rRNA from 1 species
GACGAACGCUGGCGGCGUGCUUAACACAUGCAAGUCGAGCGAUGAAGUUCCUUCGGGAGUGGAUUAGCGGCGGACGGGUGAGUAACACGUGGGUAACCUGCCUCGUAGAGGGGAAUAGCCUUCCGAAAGGAAGAUUAAUACCGCAUAAGAUUGUAGCUUCGCAUGAAGCAGCAAUUAAAGGAGCAAUCCGCUAUGAGAUGGACCCGCGUCGCAUUAGCUAGUUGGUGAGGUAACGGCUCACCAAGGCGACGAUGCGUAGCCGACCUGAGAGGGUGAUCGGCCACAUUGGGACUGAGACACGGCCCAGACUCCUACGGGAGGCAGCAGUGGGGAAUAUUGCACAAUGGGGGAAACCCUGAUGCAGCAACGCCGCGUGAGUGAUGACGGUCUUCGGAUUGUAAAACUCUGUCUUUAGGGACGAUAAUGACGGUACCUGAGGAGGAAGCCACGGCUAACUACGCGCCAGCAGCCGCAGUAA